UGAUUCCGUAGGUGAACCUGCGGAAGGAUCAUUAA
rnacentral:rRNA from 1 species